UACAGAGGUCUCAAGCGUUGUUCGGAUUCAUUGGGCGUAAAGGGUGCGUAGGCGGCGCGGUAAGUCGGGUGUGAAAUCUCGGGGCUUAACUCCGAAACUGCAUUCGAUACUGCUGUGCUUGAGGACUGGAGAGGAGACUGGAAUUUACGGUGUAGCGGUGAAAUGCGUAGAUAUCGUAAGGAAGACCAGUGGCGAAGGCGGGUCUCUGGGACGGUACUGACGCUGAGACGCGAAAGCGUGGGGAGCGAACAGG
rnacentral:rRNA from 1 species